GCUGUAAGCGGGGCGCGGGUCUCAUCUACUUCGAAGCCGACGACCAAGUUCUCCUAAAGCGGGUGUCGGCAGUUCGAAUCUGCCCGGGAGCACCA
rnacentral:tRNA from 1 species